GGAGAGUUAGCUCAGUUGGUAGAGCGGUAGAUUUUUAAUCUAUGGUUGCGGGUUCGAGCCCUGCACUCUCUU
rnacentral:tRNA from 1 species